rnacentral:misc_RNA from 1 species
GAAAUGCGAUAUGUAAUGUGAAUUGCAGAAUUCAGUGAAUCAUCGAAUCUUUGAACGCACAUUGCGCCCAUUGGUAUUCCAAUGGGCAUGCCUGUUCGAGCGUCAUUUAAACCUUCAAGCUAAGCUUGGUGUUGGGUGACUGUCCGCUUCACUGCGGUCUCGCCUCAAAAUUAUUGGCGGCCGGUACAUUGGCUUCGAGCGCAGCAGAAACGCGAACUCGGGCCCGUCGUAUUGGCUCCCAGAAGCUAUCUUCACAAUUUUGACCUCGGAUCAGGUAGGGAUACCCGCUGAACUUAA